rnacentral:lncRNA from 1 species
GAAAUACACUGCUCUGUUGGAAAGCUGGUGCUCUGCUAGGCAGGAGGAAUCCUCACAGAUUGGCGGUUCCCCUUCUGUCAGGCCCUGUUACGGACAGUGUUCAUGUGGUCAAAGCUUAUCUAAAGGCUGAACAAGUCAACACUGUAAUCUUCUGGAAUGUUGGAAAAGGGGAAAAGCAUGGAAAUCGAGAAAUCAGCAUCCAGAAGAAUCCCAGUGACAAGCUGGGCUCUAGCUAAAAGUGAUGCCUGAUGUUUAUCCCUGGAUACGAGCAUUUCCAAGAACACUGUUUU